rnacentral:pre_miRNA from 1 species
AGGCCUCGCUGGCCAGGAUUCGGGCUUAUUUCCUCGUAUCCUGGCCUGCAAGUGCACUC